CCAGAAUCAAUCUAAAAUGUAAUGUCUCCCAUCUUCCCGAGUGGCUGCUUUCACAACAUAUAGCUAAUGGUGCCCAUUACAGCAGCAGAGACAAAGACAGCCAGCAGUAAAUCUUUCUCUUUUUUACAGUUGGCUCUGGUUUAGGAAGAUUUACUUUUAUAACAGCUAUGGAGACUUCCACCUUAUCAACCUCUACUCAUUUAAUACCUUUCUCCCAAAUCUUUUUUACAGUCUUUCACAGUAAUGACAGGUCCUAAGGGUCAGAACUAGAAGUACUUUCUUUGUGAGUCUCAAAGAGUUUGAUUUUGAUAAAUUACUUUUAUUGUCUUAGCUCAGUUUUGGAAUAUCCUUGAUUUUACUUUGAAAAGUUUUCACAGUGUGGAUUCUGGUGGAGCUUGGGCAGUAUAGAAGAGGGAUGAAAAGGUGGAAACCAAGCAGAAGAGAGGCCGCACUUUUUAUUGCAUUUUGAAGUAUGCUUUAUGGAUUUGGGACAUGCUUUGUUGGUCUAGUGUCCUGGAAAGAUAAUUGAAUCAUCCUUCUCAAUGGACCAGGCUUCUUCACGUGAGGACAGAAGUAUUCCAAGAGGAUGAGGCCAAAGCUCAGAAGUCACAUGAUGUCACUUCCAGAAUAUUCUAUUGUAUCAAAGCAAGCCACAAGGCCAGCCCAGCCUCAUAAAAUAGGGAAGUGGAUUCUGCCUCAUCAUAAAAGGAACUACAAAGAAUUUGAGGUCAUGUUUACAAAACCACAAGGGACAAAAGGACUUCAGCUGAGAGAACCUGCAAGCAAAUCACAAAAUUCUCAAAAGCCAAAGGCACUCAUAAGCUAUAAGUCAGAGGGGAGCUCAUCCACCUGAAUCAGGAAAAUGGAUUUUCAGUGUCCCCAAUAAUGGCAGAGUGCUCCAAGAACCAAUGUCAACAGGCAGAGAAACGUCAACCAAACUCAGAAUCCAAAAAACGUCCCUUCUCCCCUUUCCCAGCUGUCAUUCUCCUGCUUCAGUGGGGCUGGGAAAUUCAGUAAAAUGGGAGAGGAAGCGUGGAAACAAAAGCUGAGGAAGAGAAAAAAGAAGCAAGCCCUCUUCUUAAACUUUCUAUCUGCAAAAGACCCCAGCUGGGGAGAAAUUUAAAUUUAAAUCAGUUUGAAAGUUGGAUUAUAGCAUGGUACUAACUAUGUUUAAUUACAGAAUAAUAGCUAUGUUUGAAACUUAAAAUGACCAGAUUUGUUUCUCCAAGGAGAGGACUGAAAAUACACGGACCUGUCUGAAUUUUCAUUCAUGAGAUGGAAUAAUUGCCUCUACCAAAUAAAUAUUAAAGGGGAGAUGAAGGACAAAAA
rnacentral:lncRNA from 1 species